CCUACGGGAGGCAGCAGUGGGGAAUCUUGCGCAAUGGGCGAAAGCCUGACGCAGCAACGCCGCGUGCGGGAAGAAGGCUUUCGGGCUGUAAACCGCUUUCAGCAGGAACGAAAAUGACGGUACCUGCAGAAGAAGGAGCGGCCAACUAUGUGCCAGCAGCCGCGGUGAUACAUAGGCUUCAAGCGUUGUCCGGAUUUAUUGGGCGUAAAGAGUUCGUAGGCGGUCAAGUAAGUCGGGUGUGAAAAUUCUGGGCUCAACCCAGAGACGCCACCCGAUACUGCUUAACUUGAGUUCGAUAGGGGAGUGGGGAAUUCCUAGUGUAGCGGUGAAAUGCGCAGAUAUUAGGAGGAACACCGGUGGCGAAGGCGCCACUCUGGAUCGAUACUGACGCUGAGGAACGAAAGCAUGGGUAGCAAACAGGAUUAGAUACCCUGGUAGUCCAUGCCGUAAACGGUGGGCACUAGGUGUGGGUUUCUAUUAACGAAAUCCGCGCCGUCGCUAACGCAUUAAGUGCCCCGCCUGGGGAGGUACGGUCGCAGACUAAACUACAAGAAGUAGACGCGNGAGACGUGCCGACGGACGACGACGAGGGAGUAG
rnacentral:rRNA from 1 species